rnacentral:lncRNA from 1 species
UUAAGUCCAUUCGGGUUUUGUUUGCAACAGUUGCAUAUCAUGACUAUAGGUUAAGAGAAGUCUCUUGGAGCUGAAAUCUUAGAUUUGAUGAAAAGUCAAAGUGUUUGAUUUUAUCAAAUUUGAAAAUGAAUUGUGUGUUUACAAGAAGAUAGUGGGAGCAUUUUUCGUAUUCCUAAAACGACAUCCCUAUAUUUCAAUCGUUGAAAUAAUG